rnacentral:rRNA from 1 species
AUUGAACGCUGGCGGCAUGCUUUACACAUGCAAGUCGAACGGCAGCGCGGGCUUCGGCCUGGCGGCGAGUGGCGAACGGGUGAGUAAUGCAUCGGAACGUGCCCAGUAGUGGGGGAUAGCCCGGCGAAAGCCGGAUUAAUACCGCAUACGACCUGAGGGUGAAAGCGGGGGACCGAAAGGCCUCGCGCUAUUGGAGCGGCCGAUGUCGGAUUAGCUAGUUGGUGGGGUAAAGGCUUACCAAGGCGACGAUCCGUAGCUGGUCUGAGAGGACGACCAGCCACACUGGGACAGAGACACGGCCCAGACUCCUACGGGAGGCAGCAGUGGGGAAUUUUGGACGAAGGGGGCAACCCUGAUCCAGCCAUGCCGCGUGCGGGAAGAAGGCCUUCGGGUUGUAAACCGCUUUUGUUCGGGAAGAAAUCCUCUGGGCUAAUACCCCGGGGGGAUGACGGUACCGGAAGAAUAAGCACCGGCUAACUACGUG